rnacentral:sRNA from 1 species
GAGAAGCAGCAGCAAGAUUUCUCUGCCUCCUCCACCACCAUCCUGGACGAGGAACCGAUCGUGAAUAGGGGGCUGGCAGCUGCCCUGCUCCUGUGUCAGAACAAAGGGCUGCUGGAGACCACAGUGCAGAAGGUGGCCCGGGUGAAGGCCCCCAACAAGUCGCUGCCCUCAGCCGUGUACUGCAUCGAGGAUAAGAUGGCCAUCGAUGACAAGUACAGCCGAAGGGAGGAGUACCGAGGCUUCACACAGGACUUCAAGGAGAAGGACGGCUACAAACCGGACGUUAAGAUCGAAUACGUGGAUGAGACGGGCCGGAAACUCACACCCAAGGAGGUGAGCAGGGCCUUUUGCAGGCAGAGGCCCAGCCUGCCACAAGGAGGCCAAGCCCAGGGCCAUGCAAUGCCCCAGGGUCCUGGCUCCACCAGCCUCUGGCUGGGGGCCUGGUGAGUGCCACGGAUGGGGAGGGGGCCCUCAGGGCCGAGAAGGGCUGUGCCUCAGUUUGUCUCUAGUGGGCACAGCAGUCUCUUCGCAGGCCUGGCAGGAGGGUCAGACAGGCACUCGGGACCUCU